AUGUGUAUCCCUAAGAAGGAUCGAGGUAUGGGCUCUCGGGACCUACACUCUUUUAAUUUGGCAAUUCUAGCAAAGCAAUCCUAGAGACUCGUUUCAAAUCCGGAUUCCCUGUGCGCUCAAGUUUUAAAAGCUAAGUAUUACCCAAGCCGCAAUUUACUUAAAGCUGGUCCAAGAAAGGGUUCAUCUUUUACGUGGCAAAGCAUUGUGGCUGGUCUUAAUACUUUUAGAAGAGGGCACAUCUGGCGUGUUGGCACGGGGCGGAACAAUCAAUAAUUCAAUAUAUGAGAGGAUCAUUGGAUUCCGGGGAGCCCCGCUCGCAUGAUAUUAAGUCCAAAGGGGCAUGUUCUUCUUCAAAUAGUAAAUGAGCUAAUUGAUCCGAAUAUAGGUAAUUGGGAUGAGGACUUAAUACGAGUAAUUUUUUGCCCUAUUGAUGUUGACAUGAUUCUUCAGAUACCCCUUAGCGAUCAUAUGGAUGAAGAUUUCGUGGCAUGGCACUACACAAAAGCAUACACGUUCUCGGUUAGGUCAGCAUAUUAUAUUGAAUGGGAUCAUUCUCACCGGCAUAGACUUACCAUUCUGAUAGUCAAGGUACAUCAUCAUGGAACCUAG
rnacentral:rRNA from 1 species